rnacentral:rRNA from 1 species
GAAGUUGGUGGCAAGCGUUGUCCGGAUUUAUUGGGUUUAAAGGGGGCGUAGGUGGUCUAUUAAGUCAGUGCUGAAAUAUCCCGGCUUAACCGGGAGGGUGGCAUUGAUACUGAUGGACUUGAGUAAAGUUGAGGUUGGCGGAAUUGACGGUGUAGCGGUGAAAUGCUUAGAUAUCGUCAAGAACACCUAUUGCGAAGUCGGCUAACUAAGCUUUCACUGACACUGAUGCACGAAAGUCUGGGGAUCAAACAGG